CUCAGGAUGAACGCUGACAGAAUGCUUAACACAUGCAAGUCGACUGGAAUUCUUCUUCGGAAGUUAGUACGGUGGCGGACGGGUGAGUAACGCGUAAAGAAUUUGCCCUUCAGACUGGGACAACUAACCGAAAGGUUAGCUAAUACCGGAUAUUAUGAGACCUUGGCAUCAAGGACUUAUGAAAGCUAUAUGCGCUGGAGGAGAACUUUGCGUCCCAUUAGGUAGUUGGUAGGGUAAUGGCCUACCAAGCCGACGAUGGGUAGCCGGCCUGAGAGGGUGAACGGCCACAAGGGGACUGAGACACGGCCCUUACUCCUACGGGAGGCAGCAGUGGGGAAUAUUGGACAAUGGACCAAAAGUCUGAUCCAGCAAUUCUGUGUGCACGAUGAAGGUCUUCGGAUUGUAAAGUGCUUUCAGGUGGGAAGAAGAAAGUGACGGUACCACCAGAAGAAGCGACGGCUAAAUACGUGCCAGCAGCCGCGGUAAACGCACUCGUCUGAU
rnacentral:rRNA from 1 species